AGGGGUAGGCAACAUCAUACAAGAAGACCACAAUGAGCACCUAUGAAUCCAAGGUCUAGAGUAACUAUCAAGGUGAGUCCAUCAUCAACACCAACGUAAGAAAAGGCACCGAUGGUCGCACCACCACCCUCCGGUGUAUGGGACACAAUAUACUUAUAUAUCGAUAGUGUCGCAAACACCCCCGGGAUCAUUGUUCUACCAAGGGGGACCAUCUUCGUAACUAGCUUUGCAACCACCUGUUAGUAGAACAGUGGAGUUAUGAUGGAAAUCAAGGAGCACACCACAAUCAACCAUGGAUGAAAGCAAAAAAGAUGAGAGGCCGGAACCGCGAUAUGUACCCGAGGGUGAAGGUGACGAUGAAGACGAAGAUGACGAAGAAGAAGAACCAAGUUUACAACUUGAACGAAGAAGAAUUUUGUCUCGCAAUUGACGACCACCUUGUUGUGGCACACAUUCUGCUCGACGACAGUGGUGAUUUUUUUUUUUACUUGUCAUGUAAAUCUUAAUUGUUUAACUAAGUUUUAGUCGAUAAAAUUGUACGAAUAUUGGAUAUGAAAUGUUUUUAAAUAAAUAUUUUUUUUCAAUUGAAA